UGAGCUUUCAAUUUCACUUGAUACAAAUUUAAUGAAAUUAUUUCGGCAUUCACUGCAUGAAAAGUGGGCGUUUUGGCAGUUAAUGGCACGUUAAAUUGUCGUCUAAGUUCAGGUAAACGGCUACUUACGGGAAGUUUUGGCCAGCACUGGAAAUUGUCAGGAAUUGCCGGUAAUUGACGUGGAUUUUGUUUGUCAGUGUUGCCCCCAUGACCCCCCGUCCCCUAGGUCUAGGGGAGGCUUUCACAUGUAAAUGAAAAUGCUGUGAGCUAUGCAAAGACAGAUUAGGUAAGCCACCUUUUUAUCUCUUUGUGUCUUGGCUUCAGUAAAACAGAAAUCGAGAGCGUUACUAAACAGAGAAUGAAAGGUGGCAAAGUAAUUGGUGGUGUUUUUACAGAGUGCAGAGGAUAGUUGGAGAAAUGUGACGUGCAGGAUGGAACAGCAGAGACUUGGACACACUGGACUAAACAGCAAGAAGAAACAGAGUAUGUUAUGUUACACUGGUUCAAAACCUCAGAAUGAUAAAAGGACACUUUGGUUUAAUAAUUAACUAAUUAAUAACGAAGACUGAGCAUUUACAUUUUACAUCCAGUCAUUUGGCAGACCCAAGUCUAAACACAAGGAGCCGAUGCUGACGCUUCAGUGAUAGGCUUCAGCGGGUGGGACACACACCCGGUUGUUUGAUCUCGCUCAGCCGGCCUUCAGAUUCUAGUAGAAUGCUCAGUAAAGUGCAAAGUGCAAAGUGCUACAUCAAGAGUAAGAAAUCUCAGUAAAGUAAAGUAGAGUAAAGUAUUACCUCACUGCUGCAAACUCUUACUUGCCCAACGGUGCUUUCCUGUGUUUAAGCAUCAUACCCUCUCAACCAGUUAUGUAUGUAUGAAUAAAAUAAGGACUGAUCCUUGGAUCCACACUCCUUACCAGUCGGUGGCAAUAGUGCACAAUUCGUUGUUUGCCAAUCUAGCUAGCUAAUAAUAGUCAAGAAGAAGAAGCAGAAGAAGAAAAAGAAGGAGACCUCCAGACUAAAAAAGCACAAUGUGGCCAGGAAGGAGAGAUGGCUGUUCUUAAAUCCAACAACUGCUCCAGUGUGGAAGAACAAGAAGAAAAGACGGGCAAACAAACCAAAAAUUGUGGUAAGACUUGGUCACUAAUAAGCUAAAAGCAGGUUUGUUCACAAAAGUGACUUUUGUCUUGCCUUAUUUCACAGGAAGCGGCCCGUCUCCUGCACAACUCUGAGGGAAAUUGCAAGCGCCAUGAUGCUGAGCAAGGACUGCUCGCCUGAUAACGAGGUGGUCACGUCCUUUUUGGUCUCCGGAUUUACACGUUGUGGAUCCUGAUGCCAUUGUGUGGAAGUAUCAAACUUUACCGUGGUGUUUUAUUUUAUGUUUUUGUACAGUGGCUACGCUAUUUAUUUAUAGCACACAUUUUUCCCCCUCAGGCAGGAACGUCCGGUACAGUAAACCAGAUCUUGCUGCUAGUGCGAGUUCUGCCCGACGUCGAUCGAGAGGGA